AUUUAGUACCGGGAAGAUCUUUAUGAGAGCUACAUUGUAGAAUUGGAGAGGAAGGAAAAAGAACAGGCGGCUGAAGAGCAUAAGCAGAAUAUUGCAUAGUAUAGAAAAUUCUUGGAAUCUUGUGACUUUAUCAAGGUGAACAGCCAGUGGCGGAAAGUUCAAGAUCGCUGAGAGGAUGAUGAGAGAUGCUUGCAUCUUGAAAAACUUGACAGGUUGCUCAUUUUCCAGGACUAUAUUCGCGACCUUGAGAAGGAAGAAGAGGAGCAAAAGAAGGUACAGAAGGAACAAUUGUGGCGGGUUGAGAGGAAAACCGCAAUGAGUUUCGAAAGCUGAUGGAAGAACAUGUUGCCGACGGUACUCUUACAGCUAAAACUCACUGGCUCGAUUACUGCAUGAAGGUUAAAGACCUGUCUUCGUAUGAAGCUAUUGCAUCUAAUACCUCUGGUUCAACACCAAAAAAAUUGUUUGAGGAUGUUGCUGAAGAAUUAGAGAAACAGGUGUGUAACCUAGCAUCUUAUACCAUCAUGUCUUGAUCCAUUAAUCAUCUGUAUUUUAGCUAAUGUUGAGAAUAGAAUCCGACAUUGUGAAUGUAAAUAUAAUGUGAUUUGUCAAUGCAAUUGGCAAACAGGUAGUGCCAUUUGCAUUCCAGUCGUGCAAUUGACAAAGAAAGUAGUCUCAUUUGCAAUCCAGUUGAGCAAUUGCCAUUAUAUGUGCUCAAUUAAUUGAAAA